rnacentral:lncRNA from 13 species
UCGUGCCGGAGGGUAGUGGCGUGACGAGCUCCGUGUGUCGUAGCUUAAUAUUUUCUCGCGAUAAAGACACGAUUGCGGCGAUGAGUACAGAAGGUAAACGCAAGCAUUCCGACGAAUUAUUGAUGGUAAUCUCGCCACCCGUUCAGUGGCUUCCACUCAUAAAUACGUUACGCGGUAAAAAGCGACGCGGAGGUUAAGUCAAUCGUUCGCGGAAUUCUUUUACGGAAAAACGAUGACUAUUGGCCACCUAUUGGUCACCUCUGACCGCCUGCAAUGCGUUGCUACGUUCAGUAGACAACGCAGUAGUAACAACUCAUUGUCGAGACGCGAUGCAGAAGCGUGUCGAGGUACCGGUGCUCUUUAUCAAGGCAGAUAUUUCGCGUGAUACUGCUCCAGGUCGAAAGGGUGAGAGAUGUAGCGAUUCUCGUAACGCAUUUGAAACUGUUUUUAUCGGUUUAAGUAAAUUGCGCUCGAUGUAAAUAGGAUUUUUUACUGGAUUUGCGAACCGCGGCGCGUGAAGUCCGAACCUAACCCUAACCAAAAACAGCACGACAAUAGGUGCGUUCCGUUUGCGAGAUUCGCAUAACGCAUCAUGUAUCCUUGUUUAACAGUUGAACAACAAUGAUAAAUGAUGUAUCGAUCGCACGCAUUAUGCGUGAAACGUAACGCAUUCAGUGUCAGUCGUAUUGCUUGUAUCGUCUGCGUGUAAAUAGUAACGCAAAUAAUCCAUGUGGACAAUGAUCUUUACAAUUCUGUGCAUUUUACGAUUUCUUUGAGAUUCGUGCGUUCUGAUUGCAUUGCAUGCGAGACGCCAAAUUCCGAUCGCGUAUUCUCGAAUGAUCACUAGGAAGUUGGCGCUAUAUCACGCGGAGUGAAGUUGUCCGCGCGUCGCUACUCUCACGCUCGUCGCCCAUUACCGUUACGCGCUGUAAAACGCGUCGAGUGUCGAUUCGGAAUCAGUUUGGCUUCGAAGUGAUCAGUCACAGUCGUAAUUGGCUCAGGACUGCAAUUUUGUCGACCGUGCGACGCAAGUUUCGUACAUCAGCGAUUUGUCAGAGCCUACCACCGUUCAAUCUCGUCGGUAUCCGAAACGUGUCGCGUCGGUGUGUCGAAUGCGUUGUAAUGAAUCGUUCUAUCGUUCGUUUGAUUUCUCUGACAUUGCUUACUUCCAUCGCGAUAGAGGAUACUUUCCAUUUAGUUGGAUAAGUCGACACGAACGACAUUUUAUCAUUCAAUGAAUAGUAAAAAUAGAAUGACGCUUGUGUCGCUAAAUAAAAAGUGCCCAUAACCUAAGUGUGCGUCUGGAAAAUACGUGGCGCGUCAUUAAUAUCGGCAGUGCUAAGUGAAGUGCGAUUGUCUUCUAAUUAGCGCGAGUGUCAGUUAGUCUUGGCUUCUAUGCGUGCGUUAUCGCGCGCGGCAAACAAGCGUUUCUGUGAGUCACUCCAUCAAAUGCGUGCAUUUUUCAACGUGCAUUGUAACGCGCGGCAACGUACACGCAUGGGAACCAGGAGUUAACCGAGUUUCUCCGCGAGUGCAAGGUGAUUCCGAGGGAAUCUGAGAGGAGGAGGAGGCCUGGGAGGCAUCCGGCCACGGCGGAGCAACCAUGAGAUCGACGUAGUUACUACAACUCCGCUGUUGCGCACCGUAUCGGCGGAAGAUAUUGAAUGACUUUCUGCCACAUUAAUUUUUCUCACGCGAGCAAGGCCAGGUGGGACGAUAUGGACAUUGCAAUGGACUUUAUCAGCUUCGUAGAUGGAUUGCACCUGUUACUGGUUCCUCGUAAUCACCGCAGAUUUCUUCAGAGGAGAGGCCAGUUGUGCUUGCCAGUGUAAGCAUCAGGGAUAAGAAUUAUAUGGAGAUUCAACUGAGAAUUUAGAUCCUGUUAGAGUGGAAAUCUUUAUUUUCUUUUUUU